GCGAAAUUCCUUGUCGGGUAAGUUCCGACCUGCACGAAUGGCGUAACGAUCUCCACACUGUCUCGGCCAGAGACUCGGUGAAAUUGCAGUCGCGGUGAAAAUUCCGUGUACCCGCAGAAAGACGGAAAGACCCUGUGCACCUUUACUAUAGCUUGACAUUGGAUUUUGGGCCUGCAUGUGUAGGAUAGGUGGGAGGCUGUGAACCCUGUACGCCAGUAUGGGGGGAGCCAUCCUUGAAAUACCACCCUUGCAUGUUUAGAUCCUAACUUCUUCCGGUUAUCCCGGAGAAAGACAGUGUCUGGCGGGUAGUUUGACUGGGGCGGUCGCCUCCUAAAGUGUAACGGAGGCAUGCAAAGGUUCCCUCAGCCUGAUCGGAAACCAGGCGCUGAGUGCAAACGCAUAAGGGAGCUUGACUGUAAGAGAGACAUCUCGAACAGGAACGAAAGUUGGCGUUAGUGAUCCGGUGGUCCCGAAUGGAAGGGCCAUCGCUCAUUGGAUAAAAGGUACGCCGGGGAUAACAGGCUGAUCGCAUCCAAGAGUUCACAUCGACGAUGCGGUUUGGCACCUCGAUGUCGGCUCAUCACAUCCUGGGGCUGAAGCAGGUCCCAAGGGUACGGCUGUUCGCCGUUUAAAGUGGUACGCGAGCUGGGUUUAAAACGUCGUGAGACAGUUUGGUCCCUAUCUUCUGUGGGCGAAGGAGAAUUGAGAGGGCCUGUCCCUAGUACGAGAGGACCGGGAUGGACGCACCCCUGGUGAUCCUGUUGUCGCGCCAGCGGCAUAGCAGGGUAGCUAUGUGCGGAAGGGAUAACCGCUGAAAGCAUCUAAGCGGGAAGCCUGCCUCAAGAUAAGUUCUCCCCUCGAAAGAGCUGAAGGGCCCGGGUAGACUACCCGGUCGAUAGGCUGGAGGUGUAAGCGCGGCGACGUGCUCAGCUGACCAGUACUAAUAGCCCGAGCGGCUUAUUUUU
rnacentral:rRNA from 1 species